GGUGUCGUCAGCUCGUGCCUUCGGGCGCGGGUCAUACUUCGCUACUCUGCCUGUGGGUAUCUUUCUGGCGCGGGGGGCUGCACUUCUCGCCUAGUAGGACGUCGCGACCCGUUGGGUGCCGUUCUAUGGCCCGUGGUGGAGGCCGUGCCGGAGCGUCGUUUCGGCGGCGUUGCUGUUGCACGGACCCGCGGCGACCAGAACGGCUGCCCGACGGUAGCAAAGCAUUGGGAAAGGGACCGCACAGAAGGCUGCGUCCGACGCUCGCUCACAGAGCUACGCUCGGACAGGUCCGUACCCGGUCAGCGGCGCUUCUGCUUCCGGUACUCGUCCGACCCGUCUUGAAACACGGACCAAGGAGUCUAACAUGUACGCGAGUCAUUGGGCUCUGCGAAACCUAAAGGCGAAAUGAAAGUAAAGGCUAGGCACUUGUGCCAAGCUGAGGGGUGAUGGCCGUCCCUCGUGGGCGGCCCGCAACCCCGGGGCGUCGCGUUCUCUUUGAGAAGUGGCGCACCCAGAGCGUACACGUUGGGACCCGAAAGAUGGUGAACUAUGCCUGGCCAGGACGAAGUCAGGGGAAACCCUGAUGGAGGUCCGUAGCGAUUCUGACGUGCAAAUCGAUCGUCGGAGCUGGGUAUAGGGGCGAAAGACUAAUCGAACCAUCUAGUAGCUGGUUCCCUCCGAAGUUUCCCUCAGGAUAGCUGGCGCUCGGAGGAAAGAGUUUCAUCCGGUAAAGCGAAUGAUUAGAGGCCUUGGGGCCGAAACGACCUCAACCUAUUCUCAAAAUGGGUGAGAACUCCGGCUUGCUUCGGUGAAGCCGCGAGUGUUCUUCACGAAUCAGAGUGCCAAG
rnacentral:rRNA from 1 species